rnacentral:rRNA from 1 species
CCAAUAGCGUAUAUUAAAGUUGUUGCAGUUAAAAAGCUCGUAGUUGAAUUUCGGGGUCAGUAGAUUGGUCAUGCCACUGGUAUGUACUGGUCUCACUGAUUCCUCCUUCCUGAUGAGCCGUAAUGCCAUUAAUUUGGUGUUGCGAGGAAUCUGGACUGUUACUUUGAAAAAAUUAGAGUGUUUAAAGCAGGCUCACGCUUGAAUACAUUAGCAUGGAAUAAUGAAAUAGGACGUUUGAUUCUAUUUUGUUGGUUUCUAGGAUCGACGUAAUGAUUAAUAGGGAUAGUUGGGGGCAUUAGUAUUCAAUUGUCAGAGGUGAAAUUCUUGGAUUUAUUGAAGACUAACUACUGCGAAAGCAUUUGCCAAGGAUGUUUUCAUUAAUCAAGAACGAAAGUUAGGGGAUCGAAGACGAUCAGAUACCGUCGUAGUCUUAACCAUAAACUAUGCCGACUAGGGAUCGGAUGAUGUUAAUUUUUUAAUGACUCAUUCGGCGCCUUACG